rnacentral:rRNA from 1 species
AUUGAACGCUGGCGGCAUGCCUUACACAUGCAAGUCGAACGGUAACGCGGGGCAACCUGGCGACGAGUGGCGAACGGGUGAGUAAUAUAUCGGAACGUGCCCAGUAGUGGGGGAUAGCCCGGCGAAAGCCGGAUUAAUACCGCAUACGACCUAAGGGUGAGAGCGGGGGAUCGCAAGACCUCGCGCUAUUGGAGCGGCCGAUAUCAGAUUAGGUAGUUGGUGGGGUAAAGGCCUACCAAGCCUGCGAUCUGUAGCUGGUCUGAGAGGACGACCAGCCACACUGGGACUGAGACACGGCCCAGACUCCUACGGGAGGCAGCAGUGGGGAAUUUUGGACAAUGGGCGCAAGCCUGAUCCAGCCAUGCCGCGUGCGGGAAGAAGGCCUUCGGGUUGUAAACCGCUUUUGUCAGGGAAGAAACGCUCUGGGCUAAUACCCUGGGGUAAUGACGGUACCUGAAGAAUAAGCACCGGCUAACUACGUGCCAGCCGCCGCAGUAAAAC